UUUUUCUUUCUUUUUUCCUUUAGAAUUGAACCAGGACUUAACAAGAUGGCUGCUCUGCAUUUCCUGUUGGCCUUUGUCUUUUUUGCUGCCCUAGUUCCUUCAGUGGAAGCUCAAGUGUUGAGUGUCGUGUGUCUCGUUCUAGACGCAAUACAAGAUUUUCUGCUGUGCAAUCUCCCGGCAAACGUCUUCUGCUUUGUUCCCGAGCUUCUGGAUGACCUUUUGUGCUAACAAUAAGUGUCAUCUUUGCAGACCUCAAGCUGUCCGGAUUUCAUCCCACUUCGAGCGAACAGAAUGUGGAUUGAAUUGUAAUUGAGAAUGCAUUAAUUUUGUUCUUGAGAAAUGUUUCUUGUUUUUGUAGGAGACUUUUCUCUAAUAUUGUUUUCUCAUUGAGAAUAAGAUAAUGAUGAGCCCUGUAACAAUGAUAGAAUCUUUUCAAAACAAAAAUGUCAAACCCCCGUUUUGUUGAAGUUGGAGCUCGAUUAUUUCGUUACGUUUUAUUGAUGCCAAACGUCUUUCAACUGUAAGGCACGCUUAUCAACCUCAGAAAAAGGGGUGAACUAGAAUAUUUGUUGUCACGAGUUUGAAUAUCGAAAUUUUGGUGCUGAAAAUUCCUAGAGAGCCUAAAAUCGAAUAGCAAGACUGGAUUCUCAUAACCUUUUUAUUACAGUACGCCAAUACUCUGGCACCAUGUUUUUGUGAGAGUAUUAGUUGCGUAUUAGAUUACUGAAUUGGAACAAAGCCAAAAGCUGCAUUUUUUUCAUAGAGACUGCAAAUAAAAUAGGACAUUCAAACUAAACUCAAACGUGUUUGAGUCGGAUAAAAUGGUAUUCAAAGCUCACAUAUAAUUCAUAUAAAGUCGUCAUAUCAUUUCCUUGUAGAAAUACCACUGAUCCUCAACGAGAUAGUAUUCUUCAGGUACUUAUAGCAGUUCAAGUUUUGAGAAAACUAUUGUUUCGAUGAAAAGCAUCAUAGUCAUAAUGGUGUAUUCACAGGGUAUUAAGAUACAUUUUGUUGUUUUCUGGGUGACUGCAUUUGUUAUCAGUUUGUGUAAAAAACGCGUGUAGCCGCGGUCAAGUCCCUUUAUGAGAUAUUUCUAUAUUUUGUAGAAUCUAUAUGGCUGUGUGAACCACGGGGAACUUGCAUCCCUUUGCCCCAACCACUUUUCUCUCGAAAUUUUAAGAUCGUGCUAUUCUGCCAUAAAUGUUUCAACCAUUCAUAGGUGGGAUGAUGUUGAACUGCAUUCGGUCUGAUUAUUAUCAACGACGGUGACUUAUGUAUGAAAUAGUCGAUUUCGUAUAAUUAAAAUGAAGCUAUAGAUAAAAAUUGGAGGGAACGUGUCUCUGAAUAUUCGGUUUUCAAUGCUUUUUUAUCGCUUAGCAUAGUAGUAGUACAAUUUAGACCAUUUUGAAGGCGGGCUUCCAAACUUAACUGGCUUGUCAGGACCAAUCCACGCUGAGAGGGAUACAGCAUCCUAGCAGCAAGACCGAGGAACACGAUAAGAAUUCGCCCCCCCUCGGAUAUCGAACUCGAGUCCAGUGUGUGCAACUGCAAAGCUGUUAACUUCUACACCACAUAUGAUAGUAGUAGUAGUAGUAGUAGUAGUAGUAGUAGUAGUAGUAGUAGUAGUAGUAGUAGUAGUAGUAGUAGUAGUAGUAGUAGUAGUAGUAGUUGCAGUUGUAGUUGUAAUGGUAACAAUUAAUUGAAAUAUUUCAAGUGGUAAGAAUGAUGGUAGUAAUAAUAAAGCUGACGAUAGCCGUAAUUUUAAUGAUAAUAAUGAUAAUCGUAACCACAAAACAAAAACAAAAGCAAACAAACACACUCACAAACAAAAGAAAGAUAUACCAAAAGGCACUACAUAUUCAACAUCCUGUCCCAGAGCAGAAUGCAAAUACAUUUCCAUGAGGAGGCACUUGUGAAAUAUUGUUUUAAAUUCCUUUAUAUUGGCAUUAAUUGUUGUUUAUUCACUUUCUUCUUUGUUCAAACAAAGAAUACGAACUAGAUUCCAACGAAAAUGUAUUAAAACAAUUGGCAUACACA